UACAGAGGUCCCAAGCGUUGUUCGGAUUUACUGGGCGUAAAGGGUGCGUAGGUGGUUGGAUAAGUCUGAUGUGAAAUCUCCGAGCUUAACUCGGAAAUGGCAUUGGAAACUAUUCGACUAGAGAGUUGGAGGGGGGACUGGAAUACUUGGUGUAGCAGUGAAAUGCGUAGAUAUCAAGUGGAACACCAGUGGCGAAGGCGAGUCCCUGGACAACUUCUGACACUGAGGCACGAAAGCUAGGGGAGCAAACAGG
rnacentral:rRNA from 2 species